rnacentral:piRNA from 1 species
UAAAGAGGAUAAACAAGGAACUGGCAAAU